UUGCUACAGAUGAACUCGAAGUCGCCGGCGAUACUGCCUGGAUGAUACUGUUCCUAAUAGCAGUGGCUGUGGAACUAUCCGCAGGUGGCGUUGAGGCUGCUAAAGCUUGAUCGGUGAUUAUAUGUAUAAGGAGCCGCAGACAAUUGUGUUACCAUCUGGCCGGGUGCUGUGGAGCUGCCGUUGUGACCAGGAGCAUUUGGCGCGCUUACAGCCGCGUGUGGCAGAAUGGGUGGCAUUGAUUGUCUGGCAGCCGCCAGGCCAGGACAGUCGGCUACAAUGUGAGGCAAAGUGACCGGUGGAAACUGAUUUGCAGCCCAUGGGACAUUAACAUCGGAGGCCAUACGAACUUGAAGUCGCUGGCGUUGCAGCUGCCACGGGUCUCGGCAGUGACUGAAGGAUACUAAUAGCAGCGGCUGUGGAUCUGGACGAAGGAGGCGUAGUGGCAGGUGAAGCUUGCUUGUCCUCCGC